AUUCCAUGGUGCGGACACUUCCUUUGCAAACCUUUAUAUCUUUACCAAGCCUCAUAUAAUGCUUCACCAUCUUCUUGACGGAAUGAAGUGAUGUCAUUGCGUAGUUU